rnacentral:lncRNA from 1 species
CUGAGUCGCGCAGAAGACACCGAAUCACCCUGCUGCAGACAGGCAGCCACCUGAUUCCACACUACAAAGACACAGAGGACACCAGACCACCAGACCAAGAUCACCAUCCUGAUCUACCUGAAGCCAGAUGACCAUGCAAAGACUGAAGCUCCUAAAACACGAGCCAAAAGAAAGACUUCUUCCUUUAAAUUGUAGAUGAUGAAUAUUUUGUCCCAGGAACAAGAAAGUGAAUGAGAUACCCAGUGACUUCUCAGGGUGAAGCAGCUUGUGAAAAGCUCAUAUACGUUUAAGCCACAGUGGACCUAGUCGUAAAAGAGGAUUUUAAAGUCUGGCAAACAAAACUGUUCGAUACUUGCAAACAUUUUGGAGAAAAACUUUCCUGGGCUUAAAGCUGAGAAGUCAUUUGAGUAAGUCUAGUGUGCAAAUUAAUGUGCUGGAGUUUAGUGAAGGAAGGUACGCGGAUGUCUCGAAGAUUAGCACUUAGGAUUAGAAGUGAUAAGGAAGGGUGCCAAAGUACAAAGAAAACUGAUUGAAUUUAAUAGUCUCCAAAAGACAGUGUUCCAAAUCUUGCUUAAAAAUUGCCGGACAGCUUUUUUGGGG